rnacentral:rRNA from 1 species
AUUGAACGCUGGCGGCAGGCCUAACACAUGCAAGUCGAACGAGUGGCGGACUGGUGAGUAAUUUCUGGGAACCUGCCUGAUGGAGGGGGCUAAAUACUGGAAACGGUAGCUAAUACCGCAUACCAUCAGAUCUGCCCAGAGGGUAUUAGCGAGUAGUUGGGGUAAUGGCUCACCUAGGCGACGAUCCCUAGCUGGUCUGAGAGGAUGACCAGCCACACUGGGACUGAGACACGGUCCAGACUCCUACGGGAGGCAGCAGUAGGGAAUAUUGCGCAAUGGGCGAAAGCCUGAUGCAGCCAUGCCGCGUGUGUGAAGAAGGCCUUCGGGUUGUAAAGCACUUUCAGCGAGGAGGCGUUACUCGCAGAAGAAGCAACGGCUAACUCCGUGCCAGCCGCCGCGGUAAUUC